rnacentral:rRNA from 1 species
ACGUAGGGUGCAAGCGUUAAUCGGAAUUACUGGGCGUAAAGCGUGCGCAGGCGGUUUGUUAAGUCGGAUGUGAAAGCCCAGGGCUCAACCUUGGAAUUGCACCUGUUACUGGAAGGCUAGAGUACGGUAGAGGGGGGUGGAAUUUCCCGUGUAGCAGUGAAAUGCGUAGAUAUGCGGAGGAACACCAAUGGCGAAGGCAGCCCCCUGGGCCGGUACUGACGCUCAGGCGCGAAAGCGUGGGGAGCAAACAG